rnacentral:rRNA from 1 species
AGUGAACGCUGGCGGUAGGCCUAACACAUGCAAGUCGAACGGCAGCACAGAGGAGCUUGCUCCUUGGGUGGCGAGUGGCGGACGGGUGAGGAAUACAUCGGAAUCUACUCUGUCGUGGGGGAUAACGUAGGGAGACUUACGCUAAUACCGCAUACGACCUACGGGUGAAAGCAGGGGAUCUUCGGACCUUGCGCGAUUGAAUGAGCCGAUGUCGGAUUAGCUAGUUGGCGGGGUAAAGGCCCACCAAGGCGACGAUCCGUAGCUGGUCAGCGAGGAUGAUCAGCCACACUGGAACUGAGACACGGUCCAGACUCCUACGGGAGGCAGCAGUGGGGAAUAUUGGACAAUGGGCGCAAGCCUGAUCCAGCCAUACCGCGUGGGUGAAGAUGGCCUUCGGGUUGUAAAGCCCUUUUGUUGGGAAAGAAAUCCAUCUGGUUAAUACCCGGAUGGGAUGACGGUACCCAAAGAAUAAGCACCGGCUAACUUCGUGCCAGCCGCCGCAGUAA